rnacentral:misc_RNA from 1 species
CGAAUCAAGCGAUCAGCUUCGGGAUCAACGGGAGUUUCUAGCGAGGCGUAGCCUCAGACCAGGGAGUCACGGUGAAGGCGCGAAGAGCGCGAAGAAAGACCACACUUUGUCUUCGCGCGCGGUCGGCGUCGUGGCCACCUCGAUGGUGCCAGGAGAGUGCCAGGCAAAAGGGGUUGUCGGCUGUGCGCUGGCCACGUCAGGCUUCCGGUACGAACGAGAAUCCAUUUCAUCCCGCGCCCCGCUUAAUCAUGAUUGUUUCCCGUUAUUCCCUGAUUAGUUUCGCCGUUCUGGCCUGGCUCGUUGCGAUCACGCGCGCCGCGGCGCCGUUGAUGGAACGACAGGAUCUGUUCGUGGCCGGGCAGGGUGGAUAUGCGCUUUAUCACAUUCCGUCGCUGACGGUGACAAAGGCCGGGACGAUUCUCGCGUGGUGCGAGGCGCGCAACCCCGGCAGUGACUGGAGUGCGAUCGAUUUCCGGCUGCGGCGCUCGACCGAUGAUGGGCGUACGUGGAGCGAGCCGAAGACGGUGCUGCAGGUGGACGGGCCGAAGACGAAGAAUCCAAUGGCGCUGAAGCUGAAGUCCACCCGUCCCGAACUCGUGACCUACAACAACUGCGUGAUGAUCCCGGAUCGCGAUGGCUCGGUGCACGCGGUGUUCUGCCUGGAAUACAUGCGCGCCUUCCAUGCCCGGAGCACCGACGAAGGCGUGACGUGGAGCAAGCCGGUGGAAAUCACGUCGACGUUUGAGACGUUUCGCGCGAAGUAUGACUGGAAAGUCCUCGCCGCCGGGCCGAAUCACGGCAUCCAGCUGCGGAGCGGGCGGCUCGUGGUGCCAGUGUGGAUCUCGACCGGCACGGGCGGCAACGCCCAUCGCCCCUCCGUGACGGCGACGGUCUACAGCGACGACUUCGGCCGGACCUGGCGGGCGGGCGAUAUUGCCGUUCCGGAUACGCCGGAGUGGAUCAAUCCCAACGAGGCAAUCGCCCUCGAGCUGACCGAUGGCCGCGUGAUGCUCAAUGUGCGCAACGAGUCGAAGACGCACCGCCGGCUCGUGACCUACAGCAAGGAUGGCGCGACCGGUUGGAGCACGCCACAGUUCGACAAUGCGCUGCUCGAACCGAUUUGCAUGGGGAGCCUGAUCCGGCUCUCCGCGCAGCCGCAGGCGAAAACGAACCGGAUUUAUUCUCGAACCCGCACAACUUGGACCGCGAAGACGGCAAUGCCAUGCCAGGAGUGGGGCGCGACCGAAAGAAUCUGUCGGUAAAACUCAGCUACGACGAAGGCCGCACAUGGGCUAUAAGCAAGGUCGUCGAACCGGGCCAUGGCGCCUACAGCGAUCUGACGGUGACGAAGGCGGGAACCAUCCUGCUCUUCUUCGGCACCGGCGGCACGC